rnacentral:lncRNA from 1 species
CUAAUGUUUUGCUUUCGCUGUAAAGCCUUUUUGAAAUCGGACAAUGUGGUUAGAUAAAGGAGAGUCUUAUCUUUAAAAUGGUGUAAAAUAGUUGAUUGUUUGAGAAAAUUGAAUUGUGGUAUUUUAGUUGGUUUUGUAUUUCGCGCCGUGCGAUGCCAUUGGCUGUUGGCUAGGGGUUCCGCAAGCGGGACGUCUGUCCUCAACAGGUUAAUCCAAUCCCCUAACACUAAUUCCAAACCUGGGAAGAGUGCCAAUCCGAAUAGUUCCCCAUUGCUACGAGAAAAUCCACUAGCCAAGCCAUUAUCUGCCAUUGCUCGUUUCACACAGCUACUGCGGUGUGCUGUGGUGUUAUGCUUAGCUUCCAAUAGGGUCAGCAGGGGUAUGAUUGCAACUUUAAUUUGAGUUUGGCCUAAAUAACAGCAACCAUCCCACCCAUUAGGUAAUUGUAGGUAGCCAUUUUCACUGCAAACCCACAUAACACCAUAAAGAGCCCCCAAUCCAGACCCUAUAACGGAUAUGGGUAUUCCAGUUAUAGAGUCAGAGAAGGUUGUCUGAAAGGCCCAUGGUAAUACUACCUCUACCACAAAGACAAAGUUGGGGUUCGGUUACAGGUCUCAAAUUGUUCAAGACAGGUUCUAUCUUAUUUCCAAAUGACAAAGGCAGUGGAUGAACAGGAUAUUUAGGACAUUCAAUAGCAGAGGAGGCAUACUUACUACCCCUAAACAUAAGGGCAGAUCCUAGACUAAGGUUCUUGAUGGACCCAUUCCUGGGGUGUAUAUUUCUCAUUUGGGCACAUGGAUUGGUAAGCUGACUAGAAACCUUAUGAGAGCCAAUAGUUUGGUUAAUCGUGAUGGAAUACUCUCUGGAGACAAAUAAUUGGACGCAUCUGGGUUGAUUCCUAGCUGUCUUAUCUUGUUGGAGGAUGCAUGAGAGGACACUGCAUGCGGUAGGCGUACUUAGCAAUGGGACUACAAUUGAUCCAAACAAUUCACUCUGAGGGUUUUUUAAGAUGACUACUUACCAACCACGAGGCGUGGCUUUUCGGCUCACGUUCUGGACCAUUCUUACCUAUUGGUUACUGGUUUUCAAUUGAUUCCCUUGGAUCUCUAUUCCCCCCAACAAAGGCUGCUGGUGGAUGAUCAAAGGUUUACCCCAAGUUUGUUUUUAACAAUGUGACCAUAGUGGUCAUGUGCAACAACAUCUGGGUCUGGGUGUGCAUUAUUAUCUGUUAUGAUGGUUGGGAUGUCUUCUGGCAG